rnacentral:lncRNA from 1 species
AAAGAGUUCAACCACAAUUCUCAAAAGCUUCACACACUCUUGAUCAAGAUAGUGUGAAGCGAAACCAAUUUAUGGUGCCAACAAAAGCUUCAUCAAUGGAAGGCAACUACAAUUCUCAAACCUUCGAAGCAAAUUCAAGAAUGUUCGAAGCAAAUUCAAUUUAUAUGGUUCAUCCAAACCUUCGACUACUACAAGGUGUGGCUUACAUCACAAUCUCUCGCUCAACAGUGUGGAAACAAAAUUUGUAUAUGUUGUCUCUCCCACAUUUUCAAAUUUCUAGUUUCCCAAAAAAAAAA